ACGUGAUCUGAGUUCAGACCGGAGUAAUCCAGGUCAGUUUCUAUCUAUAAGGAGCUUUUUUUAGUACGAAAGGACCAAAAAAGCAUGGCCCAUGUUUAUGAUAAGCCAUCUCUAUUAAUUUCUGUUUCAAACUUAACUCUUAUUUAGUCCACAUUUUAGCUCAAGAGCAGAGCA
rnacentral:rRNA from 1 species